rnacentral:tRNA from 1 species
GGUGCCAUCGUCUAGUGGUAGGACAACACGUUGUGGUUUACGAGCUGCCCGCUCUGAGACAACAUCCGUGUAAACGACGGUUCGAUCCCGUCUGGCGCCA